rnacentral:rRNA from 1 species
UACGGAGGGUGCAAGCGUUAAUCGGAAUUACUGGGCGUAAAGCGCACGCAGGUGGCUGAGAAAGUCGAUUGUGAAAGCCCUGGGCUUAACCUGGGAAUUGCAGUCGAAACUACUCGGCUAGAAUAUGGGAGAGGACAGUGGAAUUCCCGGUGUAGCGGUGAAAUGCGUAGAGAUCCGGAGGAACACCAGCGGCGAAGGCGGCAUCCUGGACUGGUCCUGACACUCAGGAGCGAAAGCGUGGGGAGCGAUCCGG